GGGAAACUGCCCGAUGGAGGGGGAUAACUACUGGAAACGGUAGCUAAUACCGCAUAACGUCGCAAGACCAAAGUGGGGGACCUUCGGGCCUCACACCAUCGGAUGUGCCCAGAUGGGAUUAGCUAGUAGGUGGGGUGAUGGCUCACCUAGGCGACGAUCCCUAGCUGGUCUGAGAGGAUGACCAGCCACACUGGAACUGAGACACGGUCCAGACUCCUACGGGAGGCAGCAGUGGGGAAUAUUGCACAAUGGGCGCAAGCCUGAUGCAGCCAUGCCGCGUGUAUGAAGAAGGCCUUCGGGUUGUAAAGUACUUUCAGCGGGGAGGAAGGCGGUGAAGUUAAUAACUUCACCGAUUGACGUUACCCGCAGAAGAAGCACCGGCUAACUCCGUGCCAGCAGCCGCGGUAAUACGGAGGGUGCAAGCGUUAAUCGGAAUUACUGGGCGUAAAGCGCACGCAGGCGGUCUGUCAAGUCGGAUGUGAAAUCCCCGGGCUUAACCUGGGAACUGCAUUCGAAACUGGCAGGCUGGAGUCUUGUAGAGGGGGGUAGAAUUCCAGGU
rnacentral:rRNA from 1 species